rnacentral:rasiRNA from 1 species
UGAAUAACCCCGAAAAUGAUCAUUGA